GGCGACGUAGCUCAGCUGGUCAGAGCAGAGGAAUCAUAAUCCUAAGGUCCGGGGUUCGAAUCCCUGCGUCGCUA
rnacentral:tRNA from 1 species